UACGGAGGGUGCAAGCGUUAUCCGGAAUCAUUGGGCGUAAAGAGCGCGUAGGCGGUCUUCUAUGUCAGGUGUGAAAGCCCGGGGCUCAACCUCGGAAGUGCACUUGAAACUGGGAGACUUGAGUAUGGGAGAGGGAAGUGGAAUUCCUGGUGUAGCGGUGAAAUGCGUAGAUAUCAGGAGGAACACCGGUGGCGAAGGCGACUUCCUGGACCAAUACUGACGCUGAGGCGCGAAGGCGUGGGGAGCAAACAGG
rnacentral:rRNA from 1 species